CUGUCUCUCUCUGUCUCAAAAAUAAAUAAAAAAAAAGAAAAGAAAAUGCCAGAAGAAGAGAAUUUCGGACCACAGUGCAGAACCGUUCGGGACGCGGUGCUCCUGCCCCCUGUAAGCCCGGGAGCUGUGCCCGGUGAAGGGCUGACGUUCUCCCUUAAAGAGAACCCCCUUCAAGUGCGAUGGCAAAUUUAAACAUUAGAGCAUGAGGAAUAUUUUUAUUACUACCCCUUGCCAAAUGGAACUCGAUAUAAAAAUUGAUAGGAAGCAAAAGGAAUGAAUAAAAAUAGAAAAGAAAUCACCGAGCUUUGAAAGGAAGUACAUAAGAUGAAAAUGGAAUUAAAUCUACCUUGUCUAGAGGAGAUUACAUAAAAAUGAAGAAAUCGACAGUAAAUUAACAGGUAGCACAUCUACACUCUGUCUUGAGGGAAUAACGAGAUAUUUUUAUUAUCUCCAUGCAGAAGUUCGGUUGAUUCCUACCCACCCCCCCAGCCCCCCACUGGCUCCUGAAAUGAGAGGUUUCGUUUUAUAUAGAAACAAGUGUUGUGCUUUGCCCGACUGCUGGGGAGUCUGAGAUGUGUUUUUGUCUCAACCUCCCUGGAUUUUCUUGGAUGAAAUUUUGUGUGAAGCUGACAGCGAUUGCCUAGGGGUUGGAGUGUGUGUGCACAUGUGUACGUGUGGGUGUGUGUGUUGUUUGGGGUUGCGGGAGAGGAAACAUUUCAGAGUUGAAACCCUCAGAAGUCUGAUAUGGCAGCUGCAGAACCUAAUGAGGAAGCGGAAGACCGGGUCCCUUCUCAGAAGCUUACAAUAGCUUCUGUCGGGUUCACCCAAUAGUCCUGGGAGAUAAGCAGCUCUUGGGACAGAUGGAGAGAAGCAGAGUUGCACCAAGUGCCCCGGCUCUUGAGUGGUGGAACCAGCCCUAGAUACUCACAUGCUGCUCCAUGAACAGCAGCAUGUGAGAUACUCUCACGGCUGAUCCAAUAGCUGCCAUCUUGAAGUCGUUGCCAUUCUUCCUAUGUGUGUGAAUAACAUUUCUGGAUUAAUAAAGACACAAAAAAGUG